GAAUGUUCCUGAAAACGUCUCCAUGGCAGAUGCUCCUCGGGAACUUUCCCCUCUUGUUGGCUUCAGUCCUUCCAUGGAAGCAGUUGCUGAGAGCAGACUUGGCUGCCCUCCAGCUCCAUUCAGCAUUGGCUCCACAACUUCCUACAGCAUCUGAGUGGGGUCGAGGACAGAGUCCUGCCCGCCAGCCUGGAGAUCCACUUCUCCUCACAGCCCUCCCUCCAGCCAGCAAUGAGUCCUUGGGAAAGAAACCAAAUUUUAGGGGGUCUCACUUUCCUUUUUUUUGCUGUAAAAGAAAGGCCAGGAGGAGGAAGCUAACACCCAACCCUAAGCCACCAGCUCAGUGCCUUCUCCUGACAGAGCCCAGAGGACACAACCUUGGGAGAAGGAGACUUGUAGAGGAGAAGUGACUCGUCUCGGACCUGGUGCAGAUCAGAAGCUCCUGUCUGCA